rnacentral:rRNA from 1 species
UACGUAGGGGGCAAGCGUUGUCCGGAAUCAUUGGGCGUAAAGCGCGUGUAGGCGGGUCACUAAGUCCGCUCGUGAAAGCCCGGGGCUCAACCCCGGGAGGCGGGUGGAUACUGGUGACCUUGAGUCCGGAAGAGGCGAGUGGAAUUCCCGGUGUAGCGGUGAAAUGCGCAGAUAUCGGGAGGAACACCAAUGGCGAAGGCAGCUCGCUGGGACGUGACUGACGCUGAGGCACGAAGGUCAAGGGGAGCAAACCGGG